rnacentral:tRNA from 1 species
UUUUAUAUAGUUUAGAAAAAACUUUACAUUUUCAAUGUAAAAUCAGGCACACCCUUAUAAAAC